UAGAAAAUCUCUAAAAUUAGGGGUGAAAAUAGCAGCAUUCAGUUGAAAUUGCGGUGCCUUACUCCAAUAACAAAAAAUAUUUUUUUACACUUAACUAAUUGCCCCCCAACCCACUCUCCAACUUGCUGCUUCUACAUAUAUAUAUAUAUAUACAAACCAUUAGCAUAAAAAAUAUAUACAACCCACCAGCUGUCCGUUGGCAAAAUAAAUCUUUCAAAAAGACAUGGCGCAUUCACGAAGAAACAUGCUAGUGCAGUCUCAUCACCCAAUCCAACAUGGCUGCUUCCUUUCCAUCCUUUUAUUCUCUUCCAUUAUGUCUAUCAAUAUUCGUGCAUGCAAUUCCAUCCUGUCUUCUCCUCCUCCUUUUGAUCGAUCUGACCAAGCCCCUGAGCUAUUCGGGAUCACCGCUAAACAUGGUAUUCGGGCCUUCGUUCGGGUCCCCACUGCAACCAGAUACACCUCUAUUUCCCUCAAUAACAAAGGGAACACCGCCGGUGGUGGGAUCAUAGCAUAAUGGCAAUUAAAUGCUUGGAAGGAGCUAGUCUUUUCUGCGAUUGACAGUUUAUCAGGUUGCUCAGGAAGGGUGGCUUUGAUGAAGGAUGAUGAUAAAGGAGAUGAGCAAUUUGUUUCUGCUCUCCUCUGUAGAAGUCUUCUAUACGCAAAGCCGUUACUUUAUUUCCGAUAGAAAGCUGGCCCGCUGUUGUUGGGAAGUGAAAUUACAUAAUUGUCCCAUUUCAACUCAUGCAUAUAUAUUUUUAUUUUAUUUUUAAAGUUUA